UGCUUAGGGUUUUUUUUUAAAAAAAAAAAAACCCUUAGUUUUUAUAUCAAAACCACCCCCGUAUUAAAUGUACAACAUGUACUAGAUGCGAGUUGGUCAUUCUAAGUUUGAAACAGGAAAACUUCAUUUUUACAAACAAUUAUGUAGGCAACUAUCAUUACAAAAACAAAGAGAUUUUAAGAAAGUCAAACCACCCACCUAAAAGAUGUCCUACUCUGACCACGGGAGCCAGUGGCAUGCACAUCAGACACUUCAGGCUGGCAGACGUUAGCUGCUUCUUCAUUUAGUUUCUACCAAACAAUUGAUUUGGUGUGAGAGCAUAAGCCAUAAGAGAAGCUCAGGAGGUGACUGUUCAUAAGAUAAAAAUGUUCAGAUCACUUGAUCUUUAAACUCACAUCAACAGAAGGAUUAAAACUUUGAAAUGACAUCCGUCCCAUAACUGCUCCUGGAAGGGGAUCCCCUUCCAUUAUUACCAUGCUUCACGUUCUUCAGAGUACUAGAUAUCUCGCGCUUUGCCAUAUCUGGAGUUCUCUUCUGGAAACAAACAAAGGACCAGAUUAAAAACUUCGUAAGACCUCUUUCCUCUCCAAGAACCCGAAGCAAGCAGCUUUUGUGCUCUGUUGUUUCUACUUUAUACAACGAAGGCUUCAUUAAUUGGAAGAAGAAAC
rnacentral:misc_RNA from 1 species